rnacentral:lncRNA from 1 species
CACACCUGCAGCAUAUGGAAGGUCCCCAGCUAGAGGUCCAAUCAGAGCUAUAGCUGCAGGCCUACACCACAGCCACAGCAACUCAGAAUCCAAGCCACGUCUGUGACCUAUGCCACAGCUCAUAGCAAUGCCGGAUCCUUAACCCACUGAGCAAGGCCGGGGAUUGAGCCCACAUCCUUGUGGAUACUAGUCAGGCUCGUUAACUGCUGAGCCAUGAAGGGAACUCCCUAUUUCUUCACUUUUGAAGGCAGGGAAAGAUCAUCUAGUCUUAAGCUCAGGAAGGUGUUUAUUGGCAUCAUAUUAACCCUUUAGUGACAUAUAGUUCACUGAUAUCUUUAUAUUUGAGGAUAAGGCCUUGUGAAAAAUCAUACUCCCUUGCAGAUGUCUCAUUGUAUGUCUCUCAAGCAGAGAAAUUUGAAUGUUCAAUAUGCCAGGCUGUAUGCUUUCUUUUCUGUUAUUACAUUAUACUUCAGAUCCAUAUUUUUGUCUGGCUUGCUUAAAGACAUUUAGAAAUUUAUUGCAUUCAUCUUUUUCUUUUUCAUCCAAGGCAGCAUCCUCAAGAGGAACAGGAACAGAAUAGUAAAUCCUAGAAACAGAGGAAUCCUAGGCUAGCAUCCUAGCUCUACCACUUAUGACUGGGUAUCAUCUAACUAGCCACAUAACUCUUUAAGCCUCAGACUUCCUUCUUGUAUAGGAAAAAAGACUUGUCUAGAUAUUAUGAUAACUUCCAGUUCUAAAAUAUUUUGUAAGAGAGAAAUCUUACUUUGUUAAAGACAAUAUGAAGUGUAACAGUAAAAGUCAAACAGUCAAGAACAUCUGCAAUCAGGGUAGGUAGCAGGCUGUGCCCAUGUGUUCUAAAAGCCUAGUCCUGACACCAGAGUUUUACACUGCAACAGCAUAAUCAUUCCUACCAGCAUGUUCCAUUAAAGCUUGACUUACUGCCAGGGAAUUCACCUGCUGACACAGUAAAACUCCUAACUGGAAGCAUUAACAUUGCAAUGUCAGAUGGGGAAAAAAAAAUGUUCAUAAAUUCCACGAACGUGCACUGCUUUACUUGAGGUCCUGGUUGCAAACUCAUUAUUUAUGCUGUGUACAGUAGGCCAUCAACAGAUCCCACUGGGAAAUUAGUUUGCAAUUUAGAAUCGUUUCAAAGUACAAGUGAUUCUCAAGUCAUUUUCCGAGGUUAAAUGAGAACUCUUAUUGCUUUCCGUGGGCUCAGAGGGAAUUUUUACUCUGUGUGUUCCCUCCUCCCCCAGCUCCUGCUACACUGUCUUGAUUUUUCUUUCUUAAAUGCGCUUUGGUGCUAAAUCUCUCUUUUUCAAUUUUUGAAAGCUGGUAAAUGGAAUGGUAUUUGUUGCAUUUUCUUGCUUGCUGGGACUCCUUAAGCACCUCACUUUUGAUUAUUGCUUUUAUUCUUUGAAGACUCCUGAGAGGUUUCCCUGUGCUCUACCAACUACAUUGCUUAGCUAACAGAGGAGUGAUUUGGAAAGAUUGGCUGGCAUCCGCUUCAGGAUGCAGUGAAUCAGAGUCAUCAUCCCACUUCCCUUCCAGCUUCUCACUCUGGGGGGCCGUGCCAUGGGACAGGGCUCCAGGCGGGCAGGCUAAGGGCCCAAGGAAUGAGUCUUACAACUGCAGAAGAUGUGAACGGGAGGUUCAGUCUUGCUUAUGGGCUCAUGAGCCCACGGUAUAGAACAAACUGUUGAGAUAAAAAGUGUCCCACUGAUCCUUUCUGCCUUCACACACCCCUUGAUUCAAUUCAGAACAUCCUUAAGCAUAUUUUUAAGCUUUAUUUUACUGGUAAUUGUGUGUAUAUCUUCUCAAUCUUACCCCCAACCUAGGAGAACUGACCCUAAACCAUCUGGUAGAUAAUUUGUAACCUGAUAUUACCCUUGGAGAAUAAAGAGCAUUAUUUUAGUGUACCAUUGUACCCUUGAUCAUUCCCAGAAAGGAGCAAAUAAUCCAUAGUGUUAAGGUCUUUGAGGAAUUUUUUUUCUUUUCCUCCUUUCUCAAUAAGUUGCUGAAAUGCCAAAGCUGGUAUUAUUAGCUAUAAUGAAUAAACAUCAAAUAGAAAAUAAAUCAUUAAAUGACUCCCCUUCUCUGAUGAGAAACACUAGGGUUCAUUUGAAACCAAGAUUUCAACAUCUCUCUAAUGCAUUGGGAGAGUGUUUCCAUAGGCUCAGACCAGAAAGUAUACAAACCAAAGAGAUUGAGUGUUUAGUUUCAAAAUACAUGAAAUCACUAGUUUAAACAUAGAAACUACACACAAAGAGUGCAAAGACACAAUGAAAGCUGGAGAUCAACAGGGUAAAUAUCACCUAGAAAUACUAACAGUCUUAAAGGUCAGAAAUCCUUAGUUAAACAAAAAGACCCAUCCAUUAAAAACAAUCAAUUACAAGAUAACCUGAGAAUACCACACUAUGCAUUCCCUUUAAAAGCAGAUGUUGUUCUGCUAAGAGCUAUUAGCUAUGUGCUUUAGAGGUAAAUAGAUAGAGCAGGUAACAAACAGAGACUAAAACCCGAAGGAAAAGAAACCAAAAAUUAAGUGCAUUUGGAACUGCUUGAUAUUGAAUUUCUCAGGCACAGGGAAAAGGCUUUUGUCUCAUGGACAUCCAUCGCUAUCUGUCAGCACCUAGCUCUUUGGUAAUGCACAGAAAAAAACUUCACUAGUUACAAUAUUCUGAGUUAGUCUUUUUGGGUUGAAAUUGGCUUAAAACGUUUUCCUUGAUUAUAGAUAAUUCUUUUUCUACUAAUAUUUGAACGUCAACAUGCUUCAAAAAUGAUCCUCCUUUCCUUCAAGAUUUGGAAGAGGUGGGUGUUGAUUUGGUUUUCUAGUACUUUCUAUAGUUUUUUCUUUCUACAUGUAAUAUAUGUCUUAUAACUUGUGAACAUCUCAUAUAUUCAAUGCAUCUUUGUCUUUGUUUGGUAAAAUAAUAGGUUAGAUAAGGAUGAUACUUGGCAUAUAGAAACUUAACAUCUUUUAAUGUAUGAGAACACUUGAGUGGAUGGUAUUUAUAAAGAUAUUUCUCAUGUCCCUGAGAACUCUCUUUUCCAGACUUCCAUAUUGCCAUUUGUACUUUUAGCAUACUAGUUAUUUGUCACUAAAUCCCCAAAUCUUCUCAUAUGUAUGGAGAUGGGCUGAACUGGUGAAAACGUCUCAACUCUCAAGGACAGUGUCUUAUCAUUAAGGCAAUUUCAGAGAUUCUUAGAUUUUUUUUUUAACAUUUCAUAAGUAGUUAAAAACAAUUUUCUACAAUGUGGCAAAAAUAAGCAGUAGGAUAUGAUCUUGUGUCUUCUCCAUUUCCAUAAAUAUUGUUUGAACAAGAGAAGAACUAGUCAUAUUCCACUUUCUGCUUCUCAAAGUUGUAACCUACUUUGACUUUGUCAUAGAGCCUUCUAUGACAAACUACAAAAAAGGGAUUACUAUAUCUUUAUUAGUAGAAAGAUACAUUAAUAUAUCUUUCUUUCCUCUCUCCCUAAAAUGUUAAGCUUCAUUCAAAAGUCUUAUUUUAAACCACAUGACAUAGGACGCUUCUUCUACCUAACUUAGGAUCUGAAUGAUACUAUAACUGCAUCCUUGAAAAUAAUCCGAGGCAAAAUCCAUGGUAAAUCCAUGUUUUCUAGAUCACUAAAACAUAGCAUCGAUGCUGUGCUUUCAGGUGAACUUCUACAAAAUGCAAGCAUAUUAUUGAAAUCAACAAAACCCCAAUGAUUGCAGGGCAGAAAGAGGACUCAUUAGCAUAUGCUCAUGUUGACAAGUUGAAUGAGGGGCUGAAGAUGCUGAAGAAAGUCAGGAAUCCUCUUCUUUAUGUGAAUAUCUGUCUAAAUCUAAUCCUAAGUAUAAACCAGAGUCUAACCUAUCACUCAUUAGCAUUAGUGUCCUCUCCCUCUAGCUACCCACACAUUUUGGUUUUGAUUAUGAAUGUGUCAUUUCUGGGGAUUAUUUAUUUUCCCAUUAGAUGUAAUCAUACAUUCUGAACCUUUGCUUAAUUGUCCUGAAAUGUUUGCCAACAAGGAAGAAGAGAAUAGGAUACAUGCCUCCUCUCCCUAAAACACGAAUUACCACCAGGCAUUCACUUUUUCUCUAGCCAGUCCCAUGGUCAGGCCUCUGGAGCAGAGACUGUACACAAACUGCCUGAUUAUGAGGUUCUCGCUCAUCAAAGUGAAAUUUUGCAAAGACAACAUAAGCAGCCUCAAAAUCUGCUGUUCUUGACACACAAACAUGAGCCCUUGGAUCUAGAAGGAACAAGGAGGCUAUAGCAUCUUUAAUAAAGUGGUUGAAGCCAGGGGUUGAAAGAACACAGAGCAUCCCUUUCUUCAGCUGGCAUUCACAACUGUGUCCCUGUCAGCAACUCAGACUCCAGACAGUCAAAACAGAACCCUUGAGUUCGCUUCAUUCCCUCCAAAGCUUGCUGCUCUGCUAGGCAGAGAUCAACAUUUUGGGGAAUUUUUUAAAGUGCUAUUUCUGAAGGCAGAGAGGAGAACAGAGACAUAACUGCACUGCCCCACUGAUUAGUUGGGCUUGCUUUCUUUUGUAAGUCUCUCAGAAACAUGGUGGCCCUCUCUGCAUGGGUUUUUAAAGUGCUUCUGUCUGAAUGCCCUUGGAACACUGAACAACAAAACAAAACAACAACAACAACAAAACAAAGUCUAGGCGGCACGUAGCCAGAUUUGAAUUUAAAAAGUUGCUAAUUUGGGACUCACUUCUCUCCAAUAGAAUUAUACGUGUGUAAGAAUUAUACACACACGGCUGAGGCUUUUCUCUGCUUAAAAAACAUCUGCAGUCAAUUAGAAAUAAGCCUGAGUGUCGUGUUAAUUCUGCAGAACCAAACAAAGUCAUUUUUGUUUAAACUCUUUCAGUGCUGUGAGAAUGAGAGGUUACAGGAGGAGGAAAAAAAAAAAAAAAAAAAAAAGCAAUAGAACAAAACUGCCCUGUGGCCCUGGAAGGGAGUUGAGGAGGCAAAUAAGAAUUACUUUUCUUUGAGAAUAGGAACCUGGAAAUUUUUUCCAGGAGGAUUCUAUUCUUUCCUAUUUCUCUCUUGGGGUAUGGGGAGUGGGGAGCAAGCCUACCCUUUCUUCUAAAAAGGCAACUUUUAAAAAAGCAAUGAAACAUUCUCCAGAUUCCCUCAAAAUAAAUUUGACCAGUUGAUGUGUUUGGCAAAUGAGUGGUAGCACUUCAUUUUUAAUUUUGUGGAAAGCCAAACAAAUCAAACUAUAUUUGUAGACCAUUGUGUGCAUUUCAAAUCACUGUCAUAGUUGCUAAAUGUGAUUGGUGUUCUGACUUCAGAUAUACUAAAAGCAACCAUUUCCACUGAAAUACUUAUCUUGCCGUGAAUAUCGGUGUUCAUGUCCACCUUUUGUUAACAGCAGUAGCAUUGAUUCCACUGGCACUGGAAUUUAUCUCUCUCAGAGAAGUCUGUGGAUAACCAGAGAUACCAUUUCCACACAACCACACUAGAGCUACAUGUUUUUAGGGUUGAUGGUCUCUAAAUAUAAAAGAGAAUUUCAACUCUUCCUUUGGGCUGAUGCAUUAUUUCUUCUCCAUAUCUCCCCUCCCCUUCCUUCCUUCCUCUUUCUUUUUCAUUUAAAAGUUUCAUUGAAGUGGGAGCUCCUGUCAUGGCGCAGAGGAAACGAAUCUGACUAGGAACCAUGAGGUUGGGGGUUCAAUCCCUAGUCUCUCUCAGUGGAUUAAGGAUUUGGUGUUGCUGUGAGCUGUGGUGUAGGUCACAGAUGUGGCUCAGAUCUGGUGUUGCUGUGGCUGUGGUGUAGGCCAGCGGCUACAGCUCCAAUUAGACUCCUAGCCUGGGAACCUCCAUAUGCCAUGAGUGCAGCCCUAAAAAAAAAAAAAGAAAGAAAAAGGCAAAAAAAAAAAAAGUUUCAUUGAAGUAUAGUUGAUUUACAAGGUUGAGAUAAUUUCUGCUGUACAAUAAAGUGAUUCAGUUAUACAUGUACACACAUCCGCUCUCUGUUCCAGAUUUUUUUCCAUACCUUUUCCUAAGAUUAGGUCCCCCUACAUCUCAGAUAAGAAAGGCCGAUGAAAGCUAAUUUUGUUUAGUUGAAUUUUGAGGGGUAUGAUUCAGCACUUACUCUGCAGUACCCUAUAACUACACUGAAGCUUCUUUUUCUCAGGUGAAAAUUAAAUCUCCACAAUGUAAUUCUUAUCAAGACACAGACUCUGGGGAAUUGCUUGUAGACAUAGACUUGAUAGGCAUGCUACAUAUUUACUCUUUUAUAUAUUUUGACUCUAUCUUUGCAUCAACCAAACAGCUGGACAUUGAACCAAAAUGUGCAGCACCAUUUUCAUUGGUUUUCACUGAAUUGCUCAGUAACUUUAUACCUGUUGUUUACAUGGAGAAGCACCACAGGAAAAAAAUACAAUAGAAUGUGCCAUUAUACUCACUAUAGGAAUAUUUCUAUUACAUUGUCCAAUGCCUGUUUAUGAGAAGUUACGAGAGAAAUUUCUCAGAUUUUUGGUUUUGAGUAUUUUUUUCCCUAAAUUAUGGUUCUCUAUUUUGUUUUCAUUCUUAAGAACACUUUGAUGCUUGUAAUUGAUACUACUUCUUUUUUUACUUUGCUAAAGGCAUUGAGGCCAAAUUUGUGACCUACUUUUAUUAACUAUAGUAUAUCUAUUACAUAUAUUUAUACUUCUAUAUAUCAAGGGAUUUAUUAGAAUGUAGCCCUAUUACUCCCUUUACUUUGUCUAUCACUUUCUCAGUUAUUUGUUUUAUCCUUUUUAUGUUUAUUUCUUUAAAGCUCUGACAAUUGCUUUGUGACAUAAGGCAGAGUGGUUAUAAGUAAGUAAAUAAGUAAAUCUAAGUUAAGCCCUGCUGUUGAAGUGUAAAUCUGUUUAAACUAAACCUUCUCUAUGAGUGCUUUCCAUGUUAUAGUUUUUUCUAAAAUAUUUAAUUUUUGUAUUAUUUUAUAUCAUACUACUUUUUGUUUUGUGUUCAAAAAUUUUAAAAGAAUGAAUAAGAUGAAAGGAAUGAUUUGAAUAUGUAUUAAGACACUCAUGUAGAACAUCUGAAAUGAUUACAUAAUUGGCAAAAAGGACAUUAAAGAAUGCAAAUUAAGGUGACUUUAAGGUAGAAAAUGACUAUAAUGAAAUCAAAAUAGAAUAUUCAAAAUUUCAACCAUCUUGACAGCUUUUUUUUUUCCCCAAUCUCUUUAGAAAACAAUUCCUAAGUAAAAAUGAGAGGAAUUAAGUUAAAAAACAUCUGAAAAGGACACUGGGAAGAUGGUGCUAUAUGUUUAAAUGAUAUUUUACUCAAGCACUUCAUGCUGAAAUUUAUGUUACUUUCUAUGUUAUUGCCGAGAAUAACCAAAGAAUCCAAAUCAAUUGAAACAGUGUCAUCCCUUUACAAUUAAAAACAUAAAAGUUGGCAAAAGUAAACAUUUUAACCCCAGCUAAAAUGAUUGGUAAUGUACUUUAACCACAUUUUUAUUUUUUCUCAUGUUAGUUUUGAUAAUUGAAAGAAAAGAGUGGGUUUUGCUGUCAUCAGUACCAUGUUUACAAGUACAAAUGAAGCAUAAAACUGAAGCACAAAAAAGUUGAAUUGUUAAAAUUGAAAAGAUAGGCCUGUCUGUUGACUACUGGUUCAAUUUGAUUUUGUUUUGUUUUGUUUUUUUUUCAGGAAGAUGAAGAUGGGAAUAUUAGUUUUAGUUCAAAUAGAGGGAAAAAUGAAGAAAAAUGGCUCCAUUAUUAUACAAUAUCUUUAGAUUUUAAGUCUAAAAUCUAAGGUAGAGAGAGAUCUUCAUAUUAUAAAAAAGAAAGAAAUAGGGCAGAGAUUGAGCUAACAUUCAGGUCCACACUGCCAAACUCCCUCUAACCCCUUUGUUAAAAAAUAUACUUUCAUCUAGUGGCACAAGAUGGAGGGGCUGAGUGAGAAUUGGAUAAAGCCUAUGUAGAUGAUGAGUAAAGGCCAUAGAGCUCCCACUAUUUUGUCAGGUCACAAAGGAUUAUUCUAUGUUCACCAACAAUUCCAUCUGUCUUCCUACUGUCUCACAAUAGUUCAUUAAAUAUUGAGAUGAAAAAUUAAAGCAGCAUAUCAGUCAUUUAGCUCUUUUCAAAAUCCAGAAGUUCUGGUCCUGUGCUACCCUAACUCCAUUUCUACAUGACGUAAACAAGUUUUCUGAUAAAGAAAUAAUUGGCAUAUAAGAGAAGAGUCAUUGCACAUCUUACCGUGGAGGUGAUUUUCAUAGACCAUUAUUUAAAUCUGUAUUUUCCUGGAGACCUAGAUACCCACAAUAAGCUAUCAUGUAAAUGAUUUAUCCAUUUUAUGUCAAUGAUUCAAAUAAUACUACCCUGUCAUCGCAUAUGUCCCAUUAAAUUUUAAAGAAAUACUUAUAUUUUAUCAUAAAUUCAUAUUAAGACAAAAGAUUUUCCACUUAUGGAGAAGGGUAAGAAUGGGAGGGGGAAAAAUGUUGAGACCCACAGAAAUAUCAAAUCUUUCAUGUUUUUCCUAUGUGGAUUUUUUUGGUCACAAGUUGCUCUAAAUUUGUCAUUAUUUCCCACAUGAGUACUACCUGGGUAAAUUAUGGCUUACAUCACCCU